rnacentral:tRNA from 1 species
AUUAGCUCAGUUGGUAGAGCACCUGACUCUUAAUCAGGGUGUCCGGGGUUCGAGUCCCCG